CAUGCAUGUAGUCAGCAGAGUAGAAGUCUAGUUGAUGUAGUGCUCGUAAGAAGAUCGAGAAUAAGUCAACACAAUGGCAAGUUUUAGACGGAUUUGUAGGAGAGCGUUUUUGAGCUAUGCUGUUAGUUGAUGGGUAAACUUUGAUCUGAUGUGUGAUAUUCAAUCGUCUCAACUUCUCGAUGAUUAGCAGGCAACGUUGUGUGAAUGAAACAGGAAACAGGCCUAACAUACCACGUGGGUAUUAAUGGGCCGAAAUGAUGAGAUGGAUGAUCGCAUCAUACCUGUGCCAUUCCAUCCUAAUCCUGAUGUUGAAAGGCUGGAAAGAACUUUGCACUGGCUGAGACAUGCAGCGACGGGUAAACUCCAUGGAUGACAUGCAGAGCAACGGGGUGAAACAUUGAUUGUCUAUAGCAGCUAAUGACCAAAGAGGACAUGAAUAUGCCACCUCCGCAUGGGAUUUAACAAGCCAUGAUGGUUGAACUCCUUGGAGGGCAUGCAGAGCAACAGGGUGAAAAAUGAAUCGUCUACAGCUGCUAAAGACCAAAGAAGACAAGAUGUCACUCCAGCAUGCAAUUCAACAAACAACCGGGUGAGCCUGGUGAUGUCCUGGAUCAAAGAAAUAAUUAUCUUACAAUACAAUAAAGAACUGUCCAAGAA